CUCACUGUAAUCAGAAGGCAUAUCUGCUCAGAGUGCUUGGCCUCAGCAUUCAUUUGGUCUCACUUUUACUGUAGCAGGUGCAGGAGUGGAGACUAUGUGCCUGUGACUUAAGUUUCAUUGGUGCCACUCCCUCACUAGCACUGUGUGAACAACUCUGAGUGCACAAUGUAUCUGAUUAAUUUUGCCUUUUUUCUGCUUGCAAUGCAUAGGCUUUGGAAAAGAUUUUAAAAAAUGGCUAGUGAUUAUGGGCAGCUAUGGUUUUGGGUGUCCAACUUGGGACACCUUCCAGGAGUUUUGGUUUGAGAAAUCACCCCAGGAUGGAGGCAUCCACAGUAUCUGAGUGAUCAUCUGAAACAUAUGGUAUUCCUUCUGCUCCAUGACUGGAGACUGAAACUCAUUAAACAAGGAAGGUGUCUCUGGUAUAAGUAGUGCCUGCCUGCCUGUGCCAGCAAAUAGCCACUCGUUCACAUAUAUAGGAAGAGAUGGACUCGAAUGAUGCCAAGCAACUUCAAGUGCUAGGGUCAAUCAAAGCAAAAGCAUCAUUGUUACCUGCCAUGGGGCACAAAGGAGGAAUUUAUUAUAAAAUUCAGAUGGUGUGUGAAAGAUCUCUAAAGAGGAAGAAGAAUAGAAUCUUAUGGUCAUUUUGAAAAGGAUCCAGAAAACUCUCUACUAAUGUGAACUGUUUCUGAUCCUUUCUAGGAAUGCCCCAUGGCUGAAAAGAUACUGACACUGAAGAAACUCCUGCAAGCUCACGAUGGGCUUGAUCCAAAGCCCAUUUAAAUAAAUGGGAGACUUUCCAUUUACUUCAGUGUGCUUUGGAUUAAGCACCCAUCUACAGAGCUCCUAUUACCUUCAACAAGCGUUCUGUGCAAUGGAGGCUUGUGGGGCUGGCUCCUUUAUUUCCAGUUGUCAACAUGGAUGUGAAAGAAAUCUUUUGUUUCAUUUGCAGCCUCUACUCCCUUCUUCUCUCAUUAUUUAGGCCUGGACAGUAUGUCAGACAUACAGUACCUGUGACAUGACCACAAAGUAAAUGCCAACGCACUUCCAGUAUCAAGCCUUUCUUUUCUGCCACAUAAAAUAAAAGCCCCGCUUAGAUUUAGAAAGCAAGGGAACUAAUGGGGAAGGUGCAUUAAUGUGACCUAGCUCCGCUGGUAUAACACAACUAAAAAUGCAUGACUCAAUUACACAAGAGUUAGCUAAUGAGGAAUGGAGAAGAUGUUACAGUUUAAAACAAAUGGUGACUAAAUGAAUUGGGUGCGGCCUUUCAAAUCUAGACCAUUGAACAAAAACCUGGCAAGACAUUUUCUUCACAGGAUAUGAAUCAUUCGAAAUAAAGAAGAGAGACCAUGGCCACCUACAUUCAGAGUUUGUACAGUAUGACCUUAAGGCCCAACAUCUACCAGAAGUUGAGUAGCAAAAGGCCAAGCUCCGAAGAAUAAAAGGGCUUACAUCAGUAUUAAAUAAUUCUUUCUUGGAGAUGCAAAUUUCUAAUUAGUUACUGUGGAAACUGUAGAGGCCUGGAAGUAAGCCCUGCACAAUGAGAGUGAGAGUUUACUUUUUUGAUUUACUGCAGGACUGCAGCAGUGGAGGGGGACGGAGAGGGGGAAAUAAAUUCAUUGCUUUUAACAUGACAACAGAAUAAAGUGCAGCAAGAGAAGUGACUGUUUUGUGUGCUGCUGUUACGGAGCCCAGAGGAACUUUAUGUGACAUAGUCUCACUUAAAAUGUCGCGCUGGAAUUGUAAACUGCUUCUUUACAAAGAAAUGACUUUCACAACACCCUCAGUUGUCACCUCCCGUAUAAAGAUGUUGGCCUACACUUUUUAAAGUGACCAAUGAUUUGAAGUGCCUCAGUUUUGGGGGUGAUUAACUGGAGGCACCUGAAUUUCAAAGCGCAGCACUUUCUGGAAAAUCAGGCCCUUUUAGAGCACCUGAAAAUGAAGGCACCAAAAAGUCACUAGCUGCUUUUGAAAACGUUGGCCUUGGAAUCCAGCACAGAAAUCUGAGUUUAGCCAAUUCUUCCAAUUUUCUUAUCCUCACUUAGAUGUAUUGAAUUCUUUAGUUUAAUACAUACACAAUAUGCAUAGUGUAGUAUGUCGAUUGCAAUGUACAAUAUGGAUAUUCCACAUUUAUGGAUGGAUAGUCAAUGUGGCCUCUUCCUGCAAGAGCCCUCGGUUCUUGUUUAGAUCAAUGAAAGUUGAGGAUUGUCAACAUCUAACUGGAGAUGAUUAGCACCUCACAGAUUCAGGCAUUUUGUUUAUCUCUAAUGAGGAGACCAAAUGGAAGCCAGAGGGAAAAUAAGUCAGGGUGAAAUUUAUUUGCUUAGAUAAUGACAGCGGACAGACUCUUUAUUGUAACAGGGAACAUCUGAAACAGGGCUGAAGUGAUCCCAUCAAAUUCCUUGUCAGGAACAAGAAAGAAGGGACUGGAUAGUCAGGGUUUGAAUUAAGGGAUAACUGGAACAGGGAGCUGUGAAUGCAGUUUAAUACAUAUUAAGAGAGGAAAGAAGGAAAGAGGAUUUCCCCAAGUGAUUAAAAUGUACUCUGUACUGUGGAUCAUCCUACUGCCACUAUAAACUAAAUUACACCAGGAUUGGGCCAGUUCAUGAUGGUACUGAGUACUGGAUCUUCUCUCAUGGUGCUAAAUUGUUCAUCAGAAUCUCAAAUUUCAUUAAAACAUGUAAGUCUCUAGCUGCUAUGGUUGAGAAGAAAAUCUCAAAAAUGUGAAACAACUGACGCAGAGAUGUUUCUCUGAGCCUGCAGUCUGCCACAACAGCUGUCAGAGGUGUGAACUGCACCAUUCAACUCAGAU